ensembl:lncRNA
AUGUUCUCUGUAGGAGCUUUCCACAUCAUGGAUGGAUGGAAAACCACAGGGAAGGCCAUCAUGCCACAGCUGGUGGUGAAGAUUGUUGGUGGGAAACAAAUUAAGUAUUUUACUGAUGGGACAAAAAGUCCCACAGAUCAUCUUGAGGUAACAAACUGCUCAGAGGACAGACACAGUCCACCUGUCAGAGUCACGGAUGGAGAUUUAAGCAGAAAAUCACCUUCUCAUGACCUGGAGCAUCUGAGACCAGUUGAGCACACAGCAAACCUGUUAGAUGCCAUCAGACAGGUACUAAAAAAAAAUCAUCUACAGCAUAAACUACACUGAAUGUUAAACAUAAUGUCCAACUCGCAAACUCACAGUAAUUUUGCAUUGUUUACUACUGUGUGAUUGUCACUGGCCAGUUUUCAGAUGACUUUUGAGGUCGAAUGAUUGCACUGUCCAUGGUUCUGAAGCCUGCUACUAACCAAUCAAGCUGAAAUACACUUGCCAUGAUUUACUAGAAGGAAUAAAUGUGCUAUAUCUGAAGCUCAUGCAGAAGAUGGCUGGAUGCUAAUAGUUUGGUAAUGAUUCAGGUUCCAGAAAGACGUUGUGUGACGGCGCCAUGUGGAGAUCGUUCACGGUCCUACAUACAUCUGAAGUCCUCAACCAACAUGGGUUACUCAAAACAAAUCAUGCAAAUUCCUCAUAUUACAGAGGAACAGGUAAGAUAUAAUGUGCAUGCUGUCUUUAAUCAACUUGAACUGUAAGUAUAUAUAACUAUACCACUGUUCAAAUGUUUGAGGUCGGAAAGUUUUUAUGUUUUUGUAAUAAGUCUCUUUUGCUCACCUCGGCUGCAUUUAUUUGUUUAAAAAUACAAUUUAAAGUGCAACAUGGUGAAAUAUUAUUACAAUUUAAAAUAACUUUUUUCUAUUUGAAUCUCUUUUAAAAUGUAAUUUAUUCCUGUGAUCAAAGCUGAAUUUUCAGCAUCAUUACUCCAGUCUUCAGUGUCACGUGAUCCUUCAGAAAUAAUUCUAAUAUGAUGAUUUGCUGCUCUAGAAUCAGUUGUGCUGCUUCAUAUUUUGUGGAAACUGUGACACAUUGUUUAGGAUAGCAAAUUCAAAAGAACAUUAUAUAUUUAAAAUAGAAAUCCUUUACAUAAUAAACGUAAUAUUAUAAAUGUCUUUACUUUCACAUUUGAUCGAUUAAAGUCAUCCUUGCUGAAAAUUUAAUACUAAAUUCAAAUUAAAAUCUCUCUAAAUCUCAAAAAUUUACUCAACAUGUCCAGAUGGAGGAGCCAAUUAAAUCCAGUCCAGAGUUCUGCCUCCUCUCAUCUGUCUCGGAGGAACUGCAGGAUUUGGAACCACAAACAUUCCAGAUCAUGGAGGAGGAAGUGACAUCACUUGAUCCGUCCCGAUCCGGAAUCAUCCAUCAGUCAGAACUCACGGGUCUCUUCCUCAGACUGAAGCUCCCUCUGAAGCUCACCACACUGGCCUGCAUGUUCAGAUCCUUCAGAAACACCACUGACCUGGAGCAGGUACUGGAGAUCAGUAAUAAGCAGAACCUUUGGGAAUUAUAGCAAAUAAUAUUAUUUGAGUCAUUAUACAAUUUUGGUGGCAUAUGUGCUCAGCAAAAAUGAAAUCCACUGAUUAAAUCAGAAAUCUAAACUUGCUGAAUUAAAUAAUGGUCCUCAUUUCGAAUACAAGUUGCAUAUUACACUACUAACUGUUUUCAUUAUUAACCUGUUUUUGAAAAAAAAAAUUUUUGAAAAUUUUAUUAAUGAAAAUAGAUUUCAAUUUCUGUAAAAUAUAAUUUCUUCUCUUUAGAUUUUGAGAUGUAAUGUAUUUAUUUCCAUUAUGAAAAAAAAUAUAUAUAUAUUUAUUUAUUUAUUUAUCUAUCAUUACUAUUAUUUUAUACACCACUAUUAUUUUCAUGUGAAGUCAAAAAUAAGGUUGAUUUUCUUUGUGCAAAAUAUAAUUUCAUUUUUCUUUAGAUUUUGAGAUGAAACAUGGAUUGUGUGUUUUUAUUAGAUCUACCCAUUUUUCCAUUUUGUUAAAAAUAUU